rnacentral:rRNA from 1 species
UACAGAGGUCUCAAGCGUUGUUCGGAUUCAUUGGGCGUAAAGGGUGUGUAGGUGGCGCGCUAAGUCGGGUGUGAAAUUUCGGGAGCUUAACUCCGAAACUGCAUUCGAUACUGGCGUGCUUGAGGACUGGAGAGGAGACUGGAAUUCAUGGUGUAGCAGUGAAAUGCGUAGAGAUCAUGAGGAAGACCAGUGGCGAAGGCGGGUCUCUGGACAGUUCCUGACACUGAGACACGAAGGCCAGGGGAGCAAAACGGG